UUCUAGGUGACAUAAAUGAUUUUUAAAAAUUCUCAGAGCCAGGAAUGUCAUACCUCCUUAAUAGUGUUCGAUGAGUCUCCUGAGGUACCUCCUGCGCACCAGAGGACACAGACACCUUCUGGUUGUGAAGAGAGGAGUUGAUGGUAGUGUCUCAGCAAGAUUACAAGAUGGACACAGAUACCUUCUGGUUGGGAAGAGAGGAGUUGAUGGGAGUGUCUCAUCACAAUAUUACAAGAUGGACACAGAUACCCUCUGGUUGGGAAGAGAGGAGUUGAUGGGAGUGUCUCAGCAAGAUUACAAGAUGCCAUGAGGCAGCACAAAAGGGAGAGCUGUGUUCCCGGGUACGAUAGUGUAAACCAGCACAUUUAUAUAUCAAUUGCAUCCUGUAAAGGGCUAGACUGAAUGUCUUUGAGGAAUAUUUAUUCCAAACAUUGCCGCAAUUGCUAAGAUUAAAAAGGUAAAAUAAAAAAUGAACAUUACCCAUUUAUGAAUGAAGACCUGCCCUUUACUUAAAUGGCACCUGGACAGUAACUAAUAUUAUACUAAAAAGAGAAUGAAUUCAUUACUCAGAAGUA